rnacentral:lncRNA from 10 species
GAUUCUUCCCAAUUCUACCGCCACCAUUCUGGUUCAAGCUACCUGGUCCAGCUUUGACUUUACCUGGUUUUUUAUAGAAUGCUACAACUCCCUCUAGAAGCUUCUCUUGAUAAGGUAAAACAUGCACAGAGCAAAUUUCGGUUGUAUCCUAGAAAUGAUAGCCAUAUUGAGGAUACUGGUUACACCUGACGAAACAUCUCCAUGAAAGUUAAGCAUACACAGGAUCUCACUUUGUUACCCAGGCUAGAGUGCAAUGGUGUGACCACAGCUCACUGAAGCCUCAACCUCCUGAGCUCACUUUUAAGCAAUCCUCUCACUUCGGCCUCCUGAGUAGCUGGGCCUACAGGCAUGUACCAACACUCCCAGCAAGUUUUUCUUAUUUUUGUGAAGACAGAGUCUUGCAGUAUUGCCCAAGCUGGACUUGAACUCCUGGCCUCAAGCAAUCCUCCCAUCUAGGCCUCCCAAAGUGCUAGGAUUACAGGCAUGAGCCACUGUGCCAAGCAACACUUGCAGUUUUUAAGUGAAAAUGAUCCUGUAAAUAUAUAUAUGAAUAAAAUCUAGAAAGCUAUAUAAAUCAAAA